CCUACGGGUGGCAGCAGUGAGGAAUAUUGGUCAAUGGGCGGGAGCCUGAACCAGCCAAGUCGCGUGAGGGAAGAAGGUCCUACGGAUUGUAAACCUCUUUUGCCGGGGAGCAACGGGGUCCUUGCGAGGGCCCGAGGAGAGUACUCGGAGAAAAAGCAUAGGCUAACUCCGGGCGAGCAGCCGCGGUAAUACGGAGGAUGGGAGCGUUAUCCGGAUUUAUUGGGUUUAAAGGGUGCGUAGGCGGGCUGUUAAGUCAGCGGUCAAAUGUAGGGACUCAACCGCGGCCGGCCGUUGAAACUGGCGUCCUCGAGUGGGUGAGAGGUAUGCGGAAUGCGUGGUGUAGCGGUGAAAUGCUUAGAUAUCACGCAGAACUCCGAUUGCGAAGGCAGCAUACCGGCGCCCGACUGACGCUGAGGCACGAAAGCGUGGGUAUCGAACAGGAUUAGAUACCCUUGUAGUC
rnacentral:rRNA from 1 species